UACGUAGGGGGCAAGCGUUGUCCGGAUUUAUUGGGCGUAAAGAGCGUGUAGGCGGUUAGGUAGGUCCGUUGUGAAAACUCGAGGCUCAACCUCGAGACGCCGAUGGAAACCAUCUGACUAGAGUCCGGUAGGGGAGUGUGGAAUUCCCGGUGUAGCGGUGAAAUGCGCAGAUAUCGGGAGGAACACCAGUAGCGAAGGCGACACUCUGGGCUGGUACUGACGCUGAGGAGCGAAAGCGUGGGGAGCGAACAGG
rnacentral:rRNA from 1 species